rnacentral:sRNA from 1 species
GCCAGGCGUGGUAGUGCACACCUGUAAUCCCAGCAGCUUAGGAGGCGGAAGUAGGAGGAUCGCAAAUUCAAAGCCAGCCUUAACAAUUUAGCGAGGCACUAAACAAUUUAGUGAGACCCUGUCUCUA